GGGCUCCCGCUGGCCUGUACAUUCCUGGAGGUAAGUGUUGUGUCUAGAGGGAAGCAGAACAAACAAUGAAAUGGAAGUGAGUUCCUGGUGAAAACCCAGUUUGGGAGACAGAGCCUCCUUCCAGUACUCCCAGGCCUGAUGGCUGCAAAGGUUUGCAAACGGAGACAAGAAUACAAGGGAAAGUUGAGGCCAAGGCUGGGGCCAGCAGGACGACAAGGCCAUAGGACGUUUUCAUUUCUGCAGUGACUGAACGUGACACUCGCCAAGUUUUGAUGAGAGCCCACCACUCUUGGGCGCCCAUUUCUU
rnacentral:lncRNA from 1 species